UGUGACCAAUCAUGAAGGUGUCCCUGAAGC
rnacentral:piRNA from 1 species